rnacentral:lncRNA from 1 species
UUCUUCACCAAGUGACAAUUGUGUGGUCUCUUACUGCAUCAUGACUUGUUUACUUUGUGAAUUCAUUCUUUAUUUCCAAUCCAAACGUUUAAGUGUGGCAUAAACUCACACAAUUCAUGACAUGGAACUGUUACUAUCCUUUAAACAAUUACUGUUGUUUAUAAAUAAUGGUAACGGAAUAAAUUAUUGAUCAAGUCAAGCUGCAAAUUGUUUGUCAAUUCACCUGGAAUACUUCAUCAACU